rnacentral:misc_RNA from 1 species
AACGCACCUUGCGCUCUUUGGUAUUCCGAAGAGCAUGCCUGUUCCCGAAGAGCAUGCCUGUUUGAGUGUCAUGAAAAUAUCAACCUUGACUUGGGUUUUGUGCUCUAGUCUCGGCUUGGAAUUGGGUGCUUGCCGCUUUUACGAGCGGCUCACCUUAAAUGUAUUAGCUGGAUCUGUCUUUGAGACUUGGUUUGACUUGGCGUAAUAAGUAUUUCGCUAAGGACAUUCUUCGGAGUGGCCUCGUUUCUAGGACGCUUGUCCGCUUUCCAAUACAAGUUCCACCUCGUGGACAUGACUUUUUAUUAUCUGGCCUCAAAUCAGGUAGGACUACCCGCUGAACUUAA